UUUCGAGAAUUCCAGUAUUACCC
rnacentral:snRNA from 1 species